GGCCCCGUGGCGUAAUAGUAGCGCGUCCGAUUCCAGAGUUGAACUUGGAACUUCCGGAAGGUUACCCGUGGAAGUCGGGUCGGGGUCA